GGACCUGACUGCUAUCGGAUUGAUACUAAGCCAUGCGAGUCAUUGUAGCAAUACAAGGCAUACGGCUCAGUAACGCGUAGUCAACCUAACCUAUGGACGGGAAUAACCUCGGGAAACUGAGAAUAAUGCCCGAUAGAACAUUAUGCCUGGAAUGGUUUAUGUUCCAAAUGAUUUAUCGCCGUAGGAUGGGACUGCGGCCUAUCAGUUUGUUGGUGAGGUAAUGGCCCACCAAGACUAUUACAGGUACGGGCUCCGAGAGGAGUAGCCCGGAGAUGGGUACUGAGACACGGACCCAGGCCCUAUGGGGCGCAGCAGGCGAGAAAACCUUGCAACGUGCGAAAGCACGACAAGGUUAAUCCGAGUGGUUUCUGCUAAAGAAACCUUUUGUCAGUCCUAGAAACACUGAUGAAUAAGGGGUGGGCAAGUUCUGGUGU
rnacentral:rRNA from 1 species